CACGUAGGGCGCAAGCGUUGUCCGGAUUUAUUGGGCGUAAAGAGCUCGUAGGCGGCUCAGUAAGUCAGGUGUGAAAACUCCAGGCUCAACCUGGAGACGCCACCUGAUACUGCUGUGGCUAGAGUCCGGUAGGGGAGCAUGGAAUUCCUGGUGUAGCGGUGAAAUGCGCAGAUAUCAGGAGGAACACCAGUGGCGGAAGGCGGUGCUCUGGGCCGGAACUGACGCUGGAGGAGCGAAAGCGUGGGGAGCAAACAGG
rnacentral:rRNA from 1 species